rnacentral:rRNA from 1 species
UACGGAGGAUCCAAGCGUUAUCCGGAAUUACUGGGCGUAAAGAGUUGCGUAGGUGGCAUAGUAAGCAGGUAGUGAAAGCGUGCGGCUCAACCGCAUAUCCAUUAUCUGAACUGCUAAGCUUGAGUAUGAGAGAGGUAGAUGGAAUUUCUAGUGUAGGAGUGAAAUCCGUAGAUAUUAGAAGGAACACCGAUGGCGUAGGCAGUCUACUGGCUCAUUACUGACACUAAGGCACGAAAGCGUGGGGAGCGAACGGG